UAGCCGUAAACGAUACUCGCUAGGUGUCGGCCACGGUGCGACCGUUGUCGGUGCCGUAGGGAAGCCGUGAAGCGAGCCACCUGGGAAGUACGGCCGCAAGGCUGAAACUUAAAGGAAUUGGCGGGGGAGCACCACAACGGGUGGAGCUUGCGGUUUAAUUGGAUUCAACGCCGGAAAUCUUACCGGGACCGACAGCAAUAUGAAGGCCAAGCUGAAGACUUUGCCGGAUUAGCUGAGAGGUGGUGCAUGGCGUAGUCGUGU
rnacentral:rRNA from 1 species